CCUACGGGCGGUAGCAGUGGGGAAUAUUGGACAAUGGGCGAAAGCCUGAUCCAGCCAUGCCGCGUGUGUGAAGAAGGCCUUCGGGUUGUAAAGCACUUUCAGUGGGGAAGAAAGCCUUGGGGCUAAUACCCUCGAGGAAGGACAUCACCCACAGAAGAAGCACCGGCUAACUCCGUGCCAGCAGCCGCGGUAAUACGGAGGGUGCGAGCGUUAAUCGGAAUUACUGGGCGUAAAGCGCGCGUAGGCGGUCUGAUAAGCCGGUUGUGAAAGCCCCGGGCUCAACCUGGGAACGGCAUCCGGAACUGUCAGGCUAGAGUGCAGGAGAGGAAGGUAGAAUUCCCGGUGUAGCGGUGAAAUGCGUAGAGAUCGGGAGGAAUACCAGUGGCGAAGGCGGCCUUCUGGACUGACACUGACGCUGAGGUGCGAAAGCGUGGGUAGCAAACAGGAUUAGAUACCCCAGUAGUC
rnacentral:rRNA from 1 species